UCAGACAUGGUGUAGGGGGAACACAGCCUUUAGUUAUAGGUCGUAGGCCCCGAUUUUCAGAGGCAGUCCAGGGUUCAAGUCCCUGUGUCUGAA